rnacentral:rRNA from 1 species
ACCUGCGGAGGAUCAUUACCGAGUGCAGGUCUGCCCCCGGGCAGGCCUAACCUCCCACCCGUGAAUACCUGACCAACGUUGCUUCGGCGGUGCGCCCCCCCGGGGGUAGCCGCCGGAGACCACAUUGAACCUCUUGUCUUUAGUGUUGUCUGAGCUUGAUAGCAAACCUAUUAAAACUUUCAACAAUGGAUCUCUUGGUUCCGGCAUCGAUGAAGAACGCAGCGAACUGCGAUAAGUAAUGUGAAUUGCAGAAUUCAGUGAAUCAUCGAGUCUUUGAACGCACAUUGCGCCCCCUGGCAUUCCGGGGGGCAUGCCUGUCCGAGCGUCAUUGCUGCCCUUCAAGCCCGGCUUGUGUGUUGGGUCGUCGUCCCCCCCGGGGGACGGGCCCGAAAGGCAGCGGCGGCACCGCGUCCGGUCCUCGAGCGUAUGGGGCUUUGUCACCCGCUCGAUUAGGGCCGGCCGGGCGCCAGCCGGCGUCUCCAACCUUCUAUUUUACCAGGUUGACCUCGGAUCAGGUAGGGAUACCCGCUGAACUUAAGCAUAUCAA